rnacentral:rRNA from 1 species
UACGUAGGGUGCGAGCGUUAAUCGGAAUUACUGGGCGUAAAGCGUGCGCAGGCGGUUCGUUAUGUCCGAUGUGAAAGCCCCGGGCUUAACUUGGGAAUUGCGCUCGAAACUACUUGGCUGGAGUGUGGCAGAGGAAGGUGGAAUUCCAGGUGUAGCGGUGAAAUGCGUAGAGAUCUGGAGGAACACCGAUGGCGAAGGCAGCCUUCUGGGCCAACACUGACGCUCAUGCACGAAAGCGUGGGGAGCAAACAGG